GUUGCUGUGCAGUACUUGGUGCUGAGCGCUUGUGUAACAGCAGAAACUGCCUUGCCUUACGAUGUAUGAGUGUGUGCAAAGUGUCUGCACAUGCUCAUUAGAGUGAAAUCCCAGCAAAACUCCUGUCCUUUCCCUGCUCUUUGCCCUGAGCUUUACUUCUCCAAAGGUGCGUUUAGUGACUCAGGAGCAGGACAGAGAGGGUAAAGAGGCGUUUAGUCUGUUGGGGAAAAUAAGAAGAUGAAUGGGAAUAAUAGAAGAAGAGCAGAUGAGAUGAGUACAGGCGAAUAAUAGAUUACACUGGUACAGAUCAGGGGGAAAGCAGUUUGCAUGAGACCUUUGAGGAGCUCAGGAGCAGUGCUGCAGAAUGAGAAGAGCAGAGGGAUGAAGAAAGGGGAUGUAAAAACAGACUGGGGGCAUGUGGUAGUGAAGAAACAAAUAAGGGGGUUAGCAGGCCUGAUAAAGUAGUAGAGCACUGAAAGGGAGUGUGGACAGUGAGAGGAUGGUGGAGCUGCAAGGGCAGAGGAGAAGGGGAUGGUGGAGCAGAUUAGGGAGUGAGAGGAUGGCAAAACCUAUUGAUAGAAAGGCUGAGGAACAGACUAGAAUAUCGUAUCAAUAUGAGAAUGAGAGAAACAGAUGGAGAAGUAUAAGAGUAUGGCAACCAGCUCAGAAGCUGCUACAUGCCUCCCGCCACCUUUCUGCCUGAGAGGCUCUGAUCCCUAACGUUCAUCUCUGAGAAAGGAACCUGAGUGACUGGAAUUGCUCUUAGCCCUUUCUUCAUUGUGGAAGGAAACUCUUCUUGCUGCAAGGCUCUAUCACUUUAAGGGCAGCAGCCUGAAAGGACGUACAGGAAAUGCACUGAACUCAGCUUUGUAGGGAGAACAAAGGCAUACAGGCAGGGAGGAAGGAGGCAGGAAGGCAAUUUUAUGGCUGGGAAUGUCACAAGCAGAAAGGGCCAGAGUUUCUCUGGAUUUAUGUAACUGAAUGGAGAACUGUGCAAUAAGGCAUAUUUAGUGAGGUCAAUGCUGCAAAGUUCUUAGACACAUGUUUAUUAUUAAGGAUGUGAGUAAUCCCAUCUCUAUUCAGCAAAGCAUGCAAGUUAAAUGCGAUUUAAGCAUGUGCUUAAAGUUAUGUUUGUAUAUGGAAUAUGUGAGAAUGUUUAUAAACUUUCUAUGAACAGUAUUUGUGCCCAUUCCCCCAUCUUCCUGUGUAUGGUUACCUAGAAUGAUCUAACUUCUGUUCUGGGCUGUCAGUGUGAUACAUGGGAAAACCAAAUGUAGGUGUCUGGGUGGCAUGAACUGACUCACCAGAAACUAAAUGGAGACAUCUCCCUAAGGAAUGAAAUCCUAUGAACACAAAGAAAGCUUCGUUAAUGGGACACUAACUUUUAAGAACCAGGAACCAAGGAGUGGUGAAUGGAGAUCAGGGUUUUCAAAGCUUCCUCAUCAAGAAGAGGGCUUUCUUGGAGACAUAGGAUUUAAUGAAGGCAAUGGAGCUUGAGUGAUUUAUGUCAGCUGAGGAUCUAUCCCCCGAAUAUUAUCUUUGUGAAUAUACAAAUAUACGCCCACAGGAACUGAGCUGAGACCAGAAAAUGGACACCCACAGGAACAGAAGAGAGGCACAUGGCAAAGCAAAAGAAA